rnacentral:rRNA from 1 species
CAGCAGCCGCGGUAAUACAGAGGGUGCAAGCGUUAAUCGGAAUUACUGGGCGUAAAGCGCGCGUAGGUUGUUUGUUAAGUUGGAUGUGAAAUCCCCGGGCUCAACCUGGGAACUGCAUCCAAAACUGGCAAGCUAGAGUAUGGUAGAGGGUGGUGGAAUUUCCUGUGUAGCGGUGAAAUGCGUAGAUAUAGGAAGGAACACCAGUGGCGAAGGCGACCACCUGGACUGAUACUGACACUGAGGUGCGAAAGCGUGGGGAGCAAACAGGAUUAGAUACCCCCGUAGUCCCUGUCUCUUAUAC